UUUCCAGAGAUGGAUUUGUGCCUUCGGGAACUGUGAGACAGGUGCUGCAUGGCUGUCGUCAGCUCGUGUUGUGAAAUGUUGGGUUAAGUCCCGCAACGAGCGCAACCCUUAUCCUUUGUUGCCAGCGAUUAGGUCGGGAACUCAAAGGAGACUGCCAGUGAUAAACUGGAGGAAGGUGGGGAUGACGUCAAGUCAUCAUGGCCCUUACGACCAGGGCUACACACGUGCUACAAUGGCGCAUACAAAGAGAAGCGACCU
rnacentral:rRNA from 1 species